rnacentral:lncRNA from 1 species
GAGGAAACUGGGGCGCACCUUGGCUCGUUCAAGGUGUCCUCAGAUAUCAAGUGGCAGAGCUGAUGCUGGAGUCUCAGGCGAGAGCAGCACCCUUUGACCUUUUCAACUCUUACCCGCCUGAUUCUAGAGCCACCCGGAUUGGAAGCGGCUAAACGGCCUCCCACCCUUAAUCUCACUGUCUGAAUGAUAAAUCCUGCAGGACUUCUCCUUCCAUUCAAGCCCUUCACACUCUCCUUUGAGGAGCUGCUGCCUCCACCCCCCGACUUGUGUGACCCGAUGACCAAUUGGAGAUGCCACAAGGAACAAAACUCAGCGAGGCCAGAAGGUCGUUUGGUGCCCAAACUGCCACUCUAGGAAAUGUCUGCAAAUUCAUCCGUGUAAUGUAGUUGAUCAAUGAGGACAACAUGGUGGGUUUGCAUUCUCUCUCGCCCCAAGGAAGCUCAGAGGAACAAAAUGGUAACUGAUCACUUGGACUUUGUUGUCCAGUAAUCAUGAAAGACACAAAGGAUCCUGGUUCUUCUCCCUAUGAUGAGCUGCAAUCCCGAGGAUUUAUUGUGAGAUAAGGGGGCAGAUUCAAGGGUACAACAGUCUGUGGUCUUGAAAUAGGACAAAGGUAUUGGUUCCUUACAGGAAUGAAGCCAGUGAACUUAGACUUUAUUUAUUUAUUUAUUUAUUUUGUGGCAAGCCCACAUCAUGAGUAAGUGCCUGGGAUGGAACACAGUGAUGACAACACUAAAUCCUUAAUCUGCUGAGCCACCAGGAAACUCCUGACCUUGGUCUUAGCACCCCUCAUAUUCUGGUGAAUUUAUGGGCCACAGCCAGAGCUUUGGGGCUGCUGAAGAUGUAAUGCAGGAGGGCAACACAGGAGAGGUCAUGUGGGAAAGGAAGCUUGGUCACCAGUCAGAUUUGAGUAACUUUAGGGAGUCAUCACUUAUUAGCUAUUGGAAUAUGCAAAUAUGUAAAUCUCUGAGCCUAGGUUUCAUCAUCUACUUAAUGAGGAUGAUGACCUAAGGCAGAGGAUGGAGGAAGGAGGGUUAAGUGUGAUCAUGUAAAGUAUGCAGUCCCCUGCACGCAGUGAGUGAUUCCUCCAUGAAAGGUAGUAGAAGAGCUCCCUAGUGGCUCAACAGGUUAGGGACCUGACAUUGUCACUAGGGCUUCAAUCCUUGGCCUCAGGAAUUUCUUCAGGCUUCGGGCAUUGCUCUCCCUCCCUCUUCCGCUCAGACACCCCCCCCCACUCCCCCUCCCCCGCCAAAAUAGUGGAAUGCUACAGAUACAUAAGCUGGAGUGACAGUGGUCCAGCUUUUAAGCAGAAAUCAAGAAAUAUGUGUGUCUGUGGGUUGGGAAGGAAGGGAAAAAGGGAAGAUGGUGGCUCUGGGAUGAAUGCUAGUCUCUCCAAAGGCAGGGGCCAGGGAAGGGACUCAUGUGGGAGGUGAUGAAAUCAUCUUUCCCAAAGUCCAGGAGUAUCUAUCUAUCUCUUCAUUUACCACGCCCCCAACCUUCCUAGCCACGCAUCCUUCCUUGGUCAGGGCCCUGCUCCACCAGCUCCACUAGGGUCCCCCAGGGACCCAGGGAGGGUCAGCCAAUUACGGUUUUGUAUUCUAAGAUCUGGAGGGAUGGAGUUCCUGCCAUGGUCCAGCAGGUUACAAGCACAACUAGUAAUCCAUGAGGAUUCGGGUUCAAUCCCUGGCCUUUCUCAGUGGAUUAAGGAUCUAGUGUUAACUCAAGCUGUGGUGCAGGUCACAGAUGAAGCUUGGAUCUGAUGUUGCUGUGGCUGUGGUGUAGGCAGGCAGCUGUAGCUCCAGUUCAACCCCUAGCCUGGGAACCUCCAUAUGCCGCAGCUAUGGUCCUUAAAAAAAAAAAAAAAAAAAAAAAAAAAAUCUGGAGGGGAAUAUUGGACAUCACUAAAUUAAAUUCCACCGUGACACUUUUUUGGGGCCUCCCCCCCAAAGAAUGUGGAAGUUCCCAGGCUAGGAAUCAAACCCGGACCACAGCAAGUGACAACAUUGGAUCCUUAAUGUACUGUGCCACAAGAGAAAUCCCUCACUGUGUCAUUUUAUCUGUGAGGGAACUGAGACCCAGAAAGGAAGAUCUAUUCUAGUCCUGCCUCUGCAACUAAGGUUCUGUGAAGCCUUAGGCAAGUCACUUUCCCUCUCUGAGCCUGCUGUUUACUUAUCUGUAAAACUGGGGCUUGGCUUGCAGUGUUGAGAUGUCUAAGCACCCUUCAACUCCCACCUCCGCUGUAUUAAAAUCAUAGUUCCAGAGUUCCCAUUGUGGCUUGGAAGAUUACAAACCUGUCUAGUAUCCAUCCAUGAGGAUGAGGGUUCGAUCCCUGGCUUCUCUCAGUGGGUUAAGGAUCAGGGGUUGCCGCAAGCUGAGGCAUAGGUCGCAGAAGCUGCUCGCAUCUGACCUUGCUAUGGCUGUGGUGUAGGCUGCAGUGAUGAUUCAACCCCUAGCCUGGGAACGUCCAUAUGCCACAGGUUUGGCCCUGAAAAAUAAUAGUAAUUUUUUAGAAAUAAAAAUAAAA